UAGGGGAUAUUGCACCAUGGGCGAAAGCCUGAUGCAGCAACGCCGCGUGAGUGAUGAAGGCCCUCGGGUCGUAAAACUCUUUUCAAGAGGAAGAGGAAGGACGGUACUCUUGGAAUAAGCCUCGGCUAACUACGUGCCAGCAGCCGCGGUAACACGUAGGAGGCGAGCGUUAUUCGGAUUUACUGGGCGUAAAGCGCGUGUAGGCGGCUUAUUAAGUUGGAUGUGAAAGCUCCUGGCUUAACUGGGAGAGGACGUUCAAAACUAGUAAGCUUGAGUACGAGAGAGGAAGAAGGAAUGACGGGUGCAGGGGGGAAAUGCGUAGAUAUCCGGAGUAACACCAGUGGCAAAGGGGAGUGUCUGGCUCGAGACGGACGCUCAGACGCGAAAGGUAGGGUAGCAA
rnacentral:rRNA from 1 species